CACGGACCACGGUCAAUCUCAUCUCUUCGCCUUCUUCCCAAAAUUAUUACCAUUGAUCUCUUCCUCUCCUUCCCUGUAAUUUCGUUUCUGAUAAGCUUAAUUUCUCAUCACCCAUGAUCUAUAUUCAAUAUGGGUUCCUGAGACUGCGAGGCGAUUGCGUUCGACGAUAAAAGGUAUGAGCUCUUGCGUUUAGAAUCAUCUUCUCAUCUAUUCUAAACUAAACAUCAAAGAAAAAAAGUGUGAUUGUGGCGAACGCUUUGGUUUCCUCUCUGAUCUAUAAACUGGCCGCUCUUCCUCCACUGUUCAAGUCGCCUGCUUCGAUCUACAGAAGUCAGUCGAUGUUCUUCAACCAUGGCGGUGAGUUUUCUAAGAUUCUGGGAAGCCAGAAACGUCGAGAGAUGAUGGCGUCGAUAUGCUCUUACUGGAUUCAAAGGCGACCAUCAUGCUGGCCACUGUGAAUGUUAACCGGCUUGCAACUUACAGGACUUAUCUCAAGGAGGGUUCAAUGUAUUCCAUCACCGGUUUUGAUAUUCAAUGUUCCGUGAAAUCAGAACUUCUGGCUUUCCUACUCCUCCCUGUUGAUUAGAUUCAGUGAUGCUGCCUCUUUGGAUGAAAUAACUAAACCGGCUUCACCCAUACCUGAAGAAUGUUUCAGGUUAUGUAAUAACACGAGAUGCUUGGUCUUGCCGACUCACACUCAAUUCCCAAGUAUUUACACUCUAUUUCAACAAGGAGACUAAUGCUGGGGAAAGCUAUUUUUACAAGUUACUGUCCAUUUAUGUAGGCUGGUCUCUAGCGACACUGGGCAUGCAUCAGCAGCUCCACUGCUGAGGGGCUAUGCCAAGGUUGAGCCUCUGACUAUAGCUGAGCUCAAAUGAAUUCAGUGACAAGAAUGAAGAAGGGCUCAGAUAGACAAAGGGUGAUGCUACGUUUCUUGCUCCAACUGUACCAGGAAGCUUCAACGCACUAUCUCAGCCUUUACAUGUGUUCACUGCAACAAUACUAAAGCUGUUGGUGUCCUUCGGCAUGUAUAAUUCCGUAGCAUGUUGUUUACAUUCAUUUUGGUAUCACGUGUAGGUCUCAACUUUUUAUACACGUUCACUGUCUUAUAGCUACCUUGUGGAGAUGGCCAUUGCUGAUGAUACUGCUGUAGAGUCUAUUUUUCUGCUUUGACAGGGUAAUGACGAAACUGCAUAACAUGAGAGUCUAUGAAGAUGAUAUUCCUGGUGCCAUCUCGGUACCUGCUAAGGCAGAGCCGAAUACAUGAGCAGGUCUAAGUGGUGUCAACACAACUAAGUCUCCAGCACUAGGGUGUUCUAAGAUGGUCAAGAAAGUACGCAAGUCAUAGAUUAAAAUAAUGAUAGAUCUGGCAUCAGUAUUUCCUCUUUGAAUAAUGCUUAGGCAUUGUUGUUUUUCUUUUGUUUUUGAACAAGUUCGUUUAUGUUUUACUCCUCUUUUGGUUAAUUUAUGUUUGGUUUAGACUCUCUUUAUAAAAUAUGUCUCAGUUUCCACAAUUGUUGUACAUCUAACUCACUAUUUAUUUAAGACGGACGACACUUGGUCCCA